rnacentral:rRNA from 1 species
UAACCUGCCUUGGAGUGGGGAAUAACACAGUGAAAAUUGUGCUAAUACCGCAUAAUGCAUUUGGAUCGCAUGGUUCUGAAUGCCAAAGAUUUAUCGCUCUGAGAUGGACUCGCGUCUGAUUAGCUAGUUGGCGGGGCAACGGCCCACCAAGGCGACGAUCAGUAGCCGGACUGAGAGGUUGGCCGGCCACAUUGGGACUGAGACACGGCCCAG